rnacentral:lncRNA from 1 species
UAUGAAUGGUUUCAUUUUGUGUCUUAUUUGCUGUUCUUACAUUCUUUUUUCUUGCAGCCAAGAACUAAAGACUUUCUGUUAUAAGCCUAUAGAGAUUAAGAAUUUAAUUAAGAAGCAGCAGAACUUGUAGUUGGCACAACCCCCAGCAAACAUGGUAGAAAAAAACACCACUGAGCAGGAAAGCCAACUGCAACCAGCAACCAUCCCCAAAAAUGCAGUAUAAAAGAAACCUGGAGAGAAAAAUCUGGCACACUGGAGAGACCACUCAACCCUCAGGGGGAAUGCACAAAAAGUAACAGGCAAAUGCAGCUGAUAUGCAACAUGGGAAGAUAAACAUGAGCUUUCCCAUACACCUCUGGCAACUAUGCAAUUAUCUCAGGCUCCAUUGCUACUCAGACAAGGUUUUGCUGUGUUGCCCAGACUGGAGUGCAGUGGCCUGAUCACCACUCACUGCAGCCUCGACCUCCCAGGCUUGAGCGAUCCUCCCACCUCAGCCUCCUGAGUAGCUGGGACUACAGGCGUGCACCACCAUACCUGGCUAGUUUAUUAUUAUUUGUAGAAAAGGGGGUCUCCCUAUGUUGCCCAGGCUGGCCUCAAACUCCUGGGCUCAAGUGAUUUUCCUGCCUUGGCAUCUCCUGCCUUGCCAGGAUUAUAGGCAUGAGCUACCACACCUGGCCACUGUCUUAAGCCAGUAUAUCCAACACACACACACACACACACACACACACACACACACACACACACUCAUACAAUGAACAGGUUAAAUUCGAUGCUCAAAAAUACUAUUCUGAAUCAAUGAUGACAUUUUACUUUGUGAGGAGAGGAAACAGGAAAUGCUACAAUCUAAAGUGACACCAUUGUCCCAGCUGGGGUGGGAAUACAUGCAGAGUGAGAACAUCCAGGGGGAUCUAAGACUCUCUUCCUUCCGGCUUGGUAGAAUCACCUGGGUUUCUCAAAUCUUGGUGUUCUUAUAUUUGAUAUUUUUACCAAAAUCAAAGGGCUACUAUGAAUAUGAAAUGGGAUAUUUUAUGUAAAACACUUAGCACAGCUCCUGGUACAAUGGAUGUAAAAUAGCAUUGUAAAAAUCAAUUAUUAAGUAUAAAUAGCACUUCAAUGACACUGCACAAAUGCAGGACCCAAGUGUUGGAAAGAUAAAGCAAGUGAUGUAAGUUUGAUCAAGUUAUAUGGGGAAUUAUGUGUGGUAAUUAUACGAACAGGCGACAGAGAAAUACUAGGUAGAAGAGGGCAGUUCCUCGGCAAAGGCCCCACUCUCAAUCCCGGAUACCUGCAGCCCUAAAUAAGGACAGGCUAUCCUGUUUUUGUGCUAUAAAAGUUGCCUUUUGGCCAACCACACCCCCUAUCCUGUACCUAUAUCAACGAUGAACCCCAGGCCCUAGAGGGAGAUGAGGAGACAAGGAGACAAGCAAAUGAACAGCAGAACGGCGCAGCAGAGAAAGAGAAGGAGCGUCUGAGAACCAAAAGAAGUUCGGCUGGAGCAGUCAGAGAGGAGUUCGGCUGCUGGACAGCCAAACUCCAGGGGAAGAUCCCACUCCAUCCCCCUUCUAGCUCCCAUGCAUCCCACUGAGAGCCACCUCCACCACUCAAUAAAGCCCCGACAUUCACCACCCUUCAAGUCUGUGUGCGACUCGAUACUCCUGGGGACACUGGACAAGAGCUCAUGACACAGAAAAUGUCACACUGGCCCAUUACAGAAAAGCAGAGGGGGCACUGAGCUGGUUAACACUUAAGCAGUCUGUGGACAGCAGAGCUAAAAGAGCACUGUAACGCUGGGGUCACAGGCACCCACCAUUAGACACUACCAUGGGGCCAGACCCCAAAGCGCUUGCCCUGGCUCCCGCACCUGCUCAUCUGCAUGUUCCCGCUCCUGAAAGGGGUUUGAGCUCACAGUGGUGGUGUAGAGAGCCACACCCCUGUCACAGGCCCUGCAAGGGGAGCCAGGGAACUCUCCAGUUUCAGUAACAACACCCAUUAAUGCUAUAUAUUAGGUGUUAUAUAUCAGUUUUUACCCCAGAAGCAGAUCUCUAAUAUGCUCUCCAUUUCUCUUUCUCAUUACAAAAAUAAUGAAAAUUUCUGUGGUCAAUUAAAUAAAUAAUUCUGCUUGCAAAACUGUUAAACUAAGUUCUAGGGAAGUAAGAGCAACCCUAGGAAUGGACUGUAAGUAUGAAGACACUUUCUUUUUUACUUUGAGAAAAUCACCCUGCCAGUUUCUCAAUUUAUGUGUCUUCUCCUAUAGCAAUCGAAAUAUUUUAGCAGUUUUUGUUGUUGUUCUUGAAAAUCUAGGUUAAAAUUAGAUGGUUUCUCAAAUAGUUACAACUUACUAGAGGCCUUGAUUUCUCAGUGUAUUUCCUCCAAAAAACAAUGUUCUCAGAAUGAAAAUGUUAAUUCAAUCAUCAUUAGCAUCUGAGAUUCUUCCUUUACAAAAUCGGAGAGACGGUAUGUUGAAAGUACAUUGACCAGGUACAUCUCACUCUUUGUUGCUCAACAGGUAUCUCAGGGGGAAAAAAAGUAGUGGCAAAAGACCAGGUCGACAGAAACACUGAGAGAAAUCAUAUACCGAGGAAGUGCUCCAUUUCCUUUGUUCUUUAUGUGUUCUAUAAAUAUUUCAUGUAUUUGUUAAAGCUGUGUUAUUGCUGGAAGCCAGCCUUCUCCCUUGUUUAAUUCUUCUCCCAUCCUUGAAGCCUAGAAAUGUUUGAAAUAUAGAGUCUGCAUUCCUUGUACAUGUUUUGUUAAUAAACAACAUGUGAAAAUUAGGGAUAAAAACUUCUUAAAAGGAAGAGAAAGAAAAAUAACUAGGAUGACUGGCAAGAUAAAAGUCUCAACACCCUGGGGGUGACCUUGGGGCAAUGACAUUUAUCAAAAAUCUACGAAUUGAAAAUAUGAGUGGUUGGUUCAAAUGGGAAUGAGAGUCAGCUUUUUCUUCUCAUGGCUAUGUUUGCCUUCCUUGGCCCAUGUGGCAGGAAAGUCAGGCAGGUUUGAGGGGCUUUGUUAGAAAGCUGCCUGCGGGUGGUUCAUCGCCAGUUGUGUUUACUUCAGUGCUAAAAGGGUAUAUUUCCUGUUUAAAUAGUGUGCAACGUUGAGGUCAUGGGACCUCUAUUGGAAAUGUCAACAAAACCAUUUCACUCACUAACAUUUUAAACCCAGAAGCUGGAAUAAUGGAAGAAAUCAAUAAAUCAGAAAUAAACAUGGAAUUUUCUUCCUUUGGAGACCCUAAUGACCCUGCUGUUUCAAUCUCAUCUGGGUUGUGAAUUGAGCAGCAGUGGAAACGUUUGGGCUUUGGUAGACACACACUUCAGCUUCUCUUUUUUCCCUUAUGAACAUGACGAUCAGACUACUACCAUUAUUUUUCCUCUCAAAAUAAUAGUAUGUGUAUUCUAAAACGGCAUUAAUCAGUUGGAAAGGUGUGAUCUACUUCACAUGGGUAUAAAAACAGUGUAAUCCAAAUGUGGAUACCAAAA